rnacentral:lncRNA from 10 species
GGUUUCACGAUAUUGCCCAGGCUGGUCCCAAACUCCUGGCCUCAAGCUAUCCUCCUGCCUUGACGUUCGAAAGCACUGAGAUUUUCCUCUCUGUCCUGCCGCCAUGUGAAGAAAGAUGUGUUUGCUUCCCCUUCCACCGUGAUUGUAAUUUUCCUGCAGCCUCCCCAGCCAAGCUGAACUCGACAUUCCUCUAAGCCGGUCUUACCCACCAGUGGCUGAAAAGCUUUGGAAGAUGAAGAUGAUCUGGCCAAAAGAGAAGAUGAGUUCAUGGACCUAGGGGAUAUGUGACCUGUUUAUUGAGUGAUUGUGAAAGAGGAAUGUGGGAGAUUGGGACAGCUGAUCCCCGGAUUCAUGUCACGCUGCAGCUAAUGCUGGCUGGAUCCUUAGCCUGGCACUCUGUUGGAAUAAACCUGGGUCUUUGGGAAAAGA